UAUCAUGAGGUCUUAGAGGAGAGUCAGCUGUUUACAGAGUGCUGGCAAAUUUAGGUUCAUAGUAAGAAAUUAACUUUCAGUGGAUCGUUUGCAGCAAUGAAUAGUGCACUUAUUGCAUUUAAUCCACCUAUUCUAUUCUAUGUCAGCAAGUACUUUGAGCUUCUUGAUUUAUUACAGUAUACUAUCCGGGCAACUUAUUAAAUGAACGUGUUUUAUGAUUUUAUUCUGGUUUUAAGCUAUUAAUCAGUCUUCCCGUGGUGGCUUCAACACUCACAGUGGUUUAACUAUGUUUCCUCAGCUCUCCGGGUCUUGCUGUGCUCUGGGAAACGCAAUGGUCUUCCAGCCAUUUGACAGAUUUAUUUUUGGAGCAUUUGCCGUUGUUGGAAAGAGUAGAUCCAUCUGUCAUGACACCAAGGAUUUCAUUAUAACUCACAGCUUUGCGGUGAACAUUUGUAGGAUUCUCAAUCGAACCUCUGACCGCAACAUUACCAUCAGAUUCAUCCCAGAUAAUAAAACACAGAUUUGAACAUUGUUGCUGUGGUCAGAGGGAUCAGAAUUUUAGAUCCAAGUCCAAAGGAUAUAAAUGUGUAUAAACUCGAUCUCUUCAUCGAGAUCUCAGUCUAGAAACAUCUUGAAGGAACGGAGAAGAUGUUGGCAGUUCCUCUCCCCUCUGUUUCCAGCCUGAGACGCAUUCUUUUCUUCCGGUAAUAAACUUGUCUAUCCCUCUAAUUUACUGUGAGUCUGAAGGGAUGACGGCAAAGCCUGGUUUGCUGCAGUCACUUUGUGCACAAAAUGUUUUCUGUGUUCACAUACAAGAAAUGAACUUGAAUACAUCGGUG